rnacentral:rRNA from 1 species
CCUACGGGUGGCAGCAGUGGGGAAUAUUGGACAAUGGGCGAAAGCCUGAUCCAGCCAUGCCGCGUGUGUGAAGAAGGCCUUCGGGUUGUAAAGCACUUUCAGUGGGGAAGAAAGCCUUGGGGCUAAUACCCUCGAGGAAGGACAUCACCCACAGAAGAAGCACCGGCUAACUCCGUGCCAGCAGCCGCGGUAAUACGGAGGGUGCGAGCGUUAAUCGGAAUUACUGGGCGUAAAGCGCGCGUAGGCGGUCUGAUAAGCCGGUUGUGAAAGCCCCGGGCUCAACCUGGGAACGGCAUCCGGAACUGUCAGGCUAGAGUGCAGGAGAGGAAGGUAGAAUUCCCGGUGUAGCGGUGAAAUGCGUAGAGAACGGGAGGAAUACCAGUGGCGAAGGCGGUCUUCUGGACUGACACUGACGCUGAGGUGCGAAAGCGUGGGUAGCAAACAGGAUUAGAUACCCCUGUAGUC